UCUGAAUUUAAUCAUAUUAUUUCAUGUCAUCCAUACAUCCAGAAUGAUGAGUUGUCACCUUCACAGCUGUGUUCAGCAUCUUUGCAUACCUCCGCUUCAUUGGGUUUGUAAUGGGGAUAAUCAAAUCUGUGGUUUAGAUGGAUGUCUAGGAGACAGUAGGGAUUUUCCUCAUUUCCCUUUGCUCGUUUGCGUGGCAUGUUAGGCUGGUAAAGCCAAUCGAACUUGGCACCAUGCUGUCUACACUUUCCUUUCUUUUUCUUCAUUUGUGCACUACACCUCCACCCCAGUGGCAGGCAGACGUGGCCAGACUUGAUUUUUCGUUAGAAAGAUCAUCAUUGUGCUCAUUGUGCUUUCGAUUGUUGAUGUGACUCGAUGUGUUCGUGUACACCUCCGCUAUUAAAAUAUGUUUGUGUGAAUCGCAGGUGAAGCCAUGCUGGAUGGACGCUCGGAUGCAAGAUAAUCUUUGCGUUUGUUCCACCCGCUGGAAUAUGCGGCGAAUGGUUGACUCUUGUUGUUUCCUUGGUUUUCAUUGGUAAUGUGACUGCCAUCUUUGGAGAUUUGGCCGGCAUUUUUUCGGUGUGUCGUCGGACUCGAUGACGCCGUUACUGCCAUUAGAUUUGUGACGUUGGGGAUAUCCCUGCCGGUUCUGUUCGCAAGUCGUGCUGCUGCGAUUAACGAAAAAUAUGCUGACAACGCUAUUGGAAACGUGACUGGAAGUAAUUCGGUCAACGUCUUCCUUACUAAAUAAUUCUCUAUUUUAUAUCUUCCAGAUUUCCAUGCUAAUAUUAAAUGUGACGGAGUUGCGCUUCUAAGGUUCCUUAUUACGUUUGCAUAACAAUGAA